rnacentral:misc_RNA from 1 species
GCUGAAGAACGCAGCGAAAUGCGAUAAGUAGUGUGAAUUGCAGAAUUCAGUGAAUCAUCGAAUCUUUGAACGCACAUUGCGCCCCUUGGUAUUCCAUGGGGCAUGCCUGUUCGAGCGUCAUUUGUACCUUCAAGCUCUGCUUGGUGUUGGGUGUUUGUCUCGCCUCUGCGUGUAGACUCGCCUCAAAACAAUUGGCAGCCGGCGUAUUGAUUUCGGAGCGCAGUACAUCUCGCGCUUUGCACUCAUAACGACGACGUCCAAAAGUACAUUUUUACACUCUUGACCUCGGAUCAGGUAGGGAUACCCGCUGAACUUAAGCAUAUCAAUAAGCGGAGGA